GGGAUGUAGCCCGGUCUCACUAAACAGGUACGUAUCUAUAGGUGAUGUAGCCAGUCUCACUAAACAGGUACGUAUCUAUAGGUGAUGUAGCCCAGUCUCACUAAACAGGUACGUAUCUAUAGGUGAUGUAGCCCAGUCUCACUAAACAGGUACGUACCUAUAGGUGAAUGUAGCCCAGUCUCACUAAACAGGUACGUAUCUAUAGGUGAUGUAGCCCGGUCUCACUAAACAGGUACGUACCUAUAGGUGAUGUAGCUCAGUCUCACUAAACAGGUACGUAUCUAUAGGUGACGUAGCCCGGUCUCAGUUCUAAUGCCCCUAAACAGGUACGUAUCUAUAGGUGAUGUAGCUCAGUCUCACUAAACAGGUACGUAUCUUAUAGGUGACGUAGCCCAGUCUCACUAAACAGGUACGUAUCUAUAGGUGAUGUAGCCCAGUCUCACUAAACAGGUACGUAUCUAUAGGUGAUGUAGCCCGGUCU